GACGAACGCUGGCGGCGUGCUUAACACAUGCCAGUCGAACGGAAAGGCCCUGCUUUUGUGGGGUGCUCGAGUGGCGAUCGGGUGAGUAACACGUGAGUAACCUGCCCUUGACUUUGGGAUAACUUCAGGAAACUGGGGCUAAUACCGGAUAGGGGCUCCUGCUGCAUGGUGGGGGUUGGAAAGUUUCGGCGGUUGGGGAUGGACUCGCGGCUUAUCAGCUUGUUGGUGGGGUAGUGGCUUACCAAGGCUUUGACGGGUAGCCGGCCUGAGAGGGUGACCGGCCACAUUGGGACUGAGAUACGGCCCAGACUCCUACGGGAGGCAGCAGUGGGGAAUAUUGCACAAUGGGCGGAAGCCUGAUGCAGCAACGCCGCGUGCGGGAUGACGGCCUUCGGGUUGUAAACCGCUUUCGCCUGUGACGAAGCGUGAGUGACGGUAAUGGGUAAAGAAGCACCGGCUAACUACGUG
rnacentral:rRNA from 1 species